AUUGAACGCUGGCGGCAGGCUUAACACAUGCAAGUCGAGCGGGGGAGGUUGCUUCGGUAACUGACCUAGCGGCGGACGGGUGAGUAAUGCUUAGGAAUCUGCCUAUUAGUGGGGGACAACAUUCCGAAAGGGAUGCUAAUACCGCAUACGCCCUACGGGGGAAAGCAGGGGAUCUUCGGACCUUGCGCUAAUAGAUGAGCCUAGGUCGGAUUAGCUAGUUGGUGGGGUAAAGGCCUACCAAGGCGACGACCUGUAGCGGGUCUGAGAGGAUGAUCCGCCACACUGGGACUGAGACACGGCCCAGACGCCUACGGGAGGCAGCAGUGAGGAAUAUUGGACAAUGGGCGGAAGCCUGAUCCAGCCAUGCCGCGUGUGUGAAGAAGGCCUUUUGGUUGUAAAGCACUUUAAGCGAGGAGGAGGCUCUUAAGGUUAAUACCCUUGAUGAGUGGACGUUACUCGCAGAAUAAGCACCGGCUAACCCUGUGCCAGCCGCCGCCGUAAUAC
rnacentral:rRNA from 1 species